UGGCGGCGAUAGCGCGGUGGUCCCACCUGACCCCAUGCCGAACUCAGAAGUGAAACGCCGUAGCGCCGAUGGUAGUGUGGGGCUUCCCCAUGUGAGAGUA
rnacentral:rRNA from 1 species